CCUACGGGGGGCUGCAGUAGGGAAUCUUCCACAAUGGGCGAAAGCCUGAUGGAGCAACGCCGCGUGGGUGAAGAAGGUCUUCGGAUCGUAAAACCCUGUUGUUAGAGAAGAAAGUGCGUGAGAGUAACUGUUCACGUUUCGACGGUAUCUAACCAGAAAGCCACGGCUAACUACGUGCCAGCAGCCGCGGUAAUACGUAGGUGGCAAGCGUUAUCCGGAUUUAUUGGGCGUAAAGGGAACGCAGGCGGUCUUUUAAGUCUGAUGUGAAAGCCUUCGGCUUAACCGGAGUAGUGCAUUGGAACAUGGGAGACUUGAGGGCAGAAGAGGAGAGUGGAACGCCAUGUGUAGGGGUGAAAUGCGUAGAUAUAUGGAAGAACACCAGUGGAGAAAGGGGCUCUCUGGUCUGUAACGGACGCUGGGGUUCGAAAGCGGGGGUAGAAAACAGGAUUAGAUACCCGGGUAGUC
rnacentral:rRNA from 1 species